AUGCUAGGAGUAACGCUAGGAGUAACGCUGGGAGUGACGCCCGGAGUAACGCCGGGAGAAACGCCAGGAGUAACCCUGGAUUGUAAACUGUCCUGGUCAAAACAUGUUGAUACAACAGUAGCUAAGAUGGGGAGAAGUCUGUCCAUAAUAAAGCACUGCUCUGCCUUCUUAACAACACUAUCAACAAGGCAGGUCCUACAGGCCCUAGUUUCUACCUUCUUAACAGCACUAUCAACAAGGCAGGUCCUACAGGCCCUAGUUUCUACCUUCUUAACAGCACUAUCAACAAGGCAGGUCCUACAGGCCCUAGUUUCUACCUUCUUAACAACACUAUCAACAAGGCAGGUCCUACAGGCCCUAGUUUCUACCUUCUUAACAGCACUAUCAACAAGGCAGGUCCUACAGGCCCUAGUUUCUACCUUCUCAACAACACUAUCAACAAGGCAGGUCCUACAGGCCCUAGUUUCUACCUUCUUAACAGCACUAUCAGCAAGGCAGGUCCUACAGGUCCUAGUUUCUACCUUCUCAACAACACUAUCAACAAGGCAGGUCCUACAGGCCCUAGUUUCUACCUUCUUAACAACACUAUCAACAAGGCAGGUCCUACAGGCCCUAGUUUCUACCUUCUUAACAACACUAUCAACAAGGCAGGUCCUACAGGCCCUAGUUUCUACCUUCUUAACAGCACUAUCAGCAAGGCAGGUCCUACAGGCCCUAGUUUCUACCUUCUUAACAGCACUAUCAACAAGGCAGGUCCUACAGGCCCUAGUUUCUACCUUCUUAACAGCACUAUCAACAAGGCAGGUCCUACAGGCCCUAGUUUCUACCUUCUUAACAACACUAUCAACAAGGCAGGUCCUACAGGCCCUAGUUUUGUUGCACCUGGACUACUGUUCAGUCGUGUGGUCCGGUGCCACAAAAAAGGACUUUGGAAAAUUGCAUUUGUCUCAGAACAGAGCAGCACAGCUGGCCCUUGAACAUACACAGAGAGCUAAUAUUAAUAAUAUGCAUGUCAAUCUCUCCUGGCUGAAAGUGGAGGAGAGAUUGACUUCAUCACUACUUGUUUUUGUAAAAAGUGUUGAAAUGUUGAAUGCAUGGAGCUGUCUAUUUAAACUUCUAGCACACAGCUCGGACCCUCAUGCAUAUCCCACAAGUGUCACAACUUCUGCCGAAGUCGAUGCCUCUCCUUGUUCAGGCGACGUUCGGCGGUCGACGUCGCCGACCUUCUAG
rnacentral:lncRNA from 8 species